CUCGUAGGCGGUUCAACAAGUCGGUCGUGAAAGCCCGGGGCUCAACCCCGGGAUGCCGGUCGAAACUGUUGUGACUUGAGUUCGGUAGAGGCGAGUGGAAUUCUCGGUGUAGCGGUGGAAUGCGCAGAUAUCGAGAGGAACACCCGUAGCGAAGGCGGCUCACUGGGCCGAUACUGACGCUGAGGAGCGAAAGCGUGGGGAGCAAACA
rnacentral:rRNA from 1 species